rfam:Brachypodium distachyon strain Bd21 chromosome 3, whole genome shotgun sequence.
GUAGUACUCCCUCUGAUCCAUAUUAAUUGUCUCAAAUUUGACCAAAUAUGGAUGUAUCUAUGCCUAAAAAGCGUCUAGAUACAUGUAAUAUUUCGACAUUUAAUAUGGAUCGGAGGGAGUACUUU